UCCCUCUCAGGAUCACAUCUGGAGAGUUUCCAGUACUCGACCAGUCUCGGUUAUGGGAGGGAGAGUCAAGAAGAGGCACACUCAUUUCAUUCCUAGCUUGGGCAGCGGCUAGUGAGUGGAAGGCAAUCUGGCUACAAAU
rnacentral:snoRNA from 2 species